AUUGAACGCUGGCGGCAGGCUUAACACAUGCAAGUCGAGCGGAGUGAUGGUGCUUGCACUAUCACUUAGCGGCGGACGGGUGAGUAAUGCUUAGGAAUCUGCCUAUUAGUGGGGGACAACAUCUCGAAAGGGAUGCUAAUACCGCAUACGUCCUACGGGAGAAAGCAGGGGAUCACUUGUGACCUUGCGCUAAUAGAUGAGCCUAAGUCGGAUUAGCUAGUCGGUGGGGUAAAGGCCUACCAAGGCGACGAUCUGUAGCGGGUCUGAGAGGAUGAGCCGCCACACUGGGAAUGAGACACGGCCCAGACUCCUACGGGAGGCAGCAGUGGGGAAUAUUGGACAAUGGGGGGAACCCUGAUCCAGCCAUGCCGCGUGUGUGAAGAAGGCCUUAUGGUUGUAAAGCACUUUAAGCGAGGAGGAGGCUCUUUUGGUUAAUACCCAAGAUGAGUGGACGUUACUCGCAGAAUAAGCACCGGCUAACUCUGUGCCAGCCGCCGCCGUAACAC
rnacentral:rRNA from 1 species